UACGGAGGGGGCUAGCGUUGUUCGGAAUUACUGGGCGUAAAGCGCGCGUAGGCGGCUUUGUAAGUUAGGGGUGAAAGCCCGGAGCUCAACUCCGGAAUUGCCCUUAAGACUGCAUCGCUAGAACGUCGGAGAGGUAAGUGGAAUUCCGAGUGUAGAGGUGAAAUUCGUAGAUAUUCGGAAGAACACCAGUGGCGAAGGCGACUUACUGGACGACUGUUGACGCUGAGGUGCGAAAGCGUGGGGAGCAAACAGG
rnacentral:rRNA from 1 species